rnacentral:lncRNA from 1 species
AUGUGUUUUCAGUUUCUAAGCCUUACCAGAAAUGAACCGUAUCUUCAUGGAACCAAAUUAUCCUUCAUAGAAAUGAGAAAAACAUUGUGUAGUCAGCAGGUCACACAGCUGGACGAGUCUGCAGCCUUCAGCCGUGGGCGUGUGCAGAGAAACCAGUCCAGAAUGGAUUCAUCCAAAACUGAACCCGGACCUACAGACUUAGAAGGUCAACAGCUCACAAAAACAGUCAAAUCUACAACCUCCAGCUGUGGGUCUGUGAAGAGUGAUCGGUCCAAACAUCCUCCUCCAAGCUUUGAACCUGAACCAGGACCUUCAGACUCACAGUAAGAACCUGUUUCUACAGAAUAAAGAUUUCAUCUCUCAGAAGGAACAACAGGGUACUCAUCAAGAACAUAAGCUGAUCCAUCCAGGAUUGACAACAAUCUGCUGUGACAAGUAUAGGUCUUAGAGCAAAGGCAGGGGUUUGAAAACAAAAUUAAUAAAGCCUGUUUUAAUUCAGUUAUUACAUUUUGAAGUCUGAGAUGAGUUUUUAAAUGUAAAAUGUUCUUAGAUUUAGAAGUCAAUUUCCAAAAUAUCUCUUAGUUCUUACUAAUUUUUGAUAUUGACAAUUUAGUAAAGAUUACUUUCUUAUCAAACCAAAUGUCUGUGUAUUAUUUAG